CCUACGGGAGGCAUCAGUAGGGAAUCUUCGGCAAUGGACGAAAGUCUGACCGAGCAACGCCGCGUGAGUGAAGAAGGUUUUCGGAUCGUAAAACUCUGUUGUUAGAGAAGAACAAGUGGGAGAGUAACUGUUCCCACCUUGACGGUAUCUAACCAGAAAGCCACGGCUAACUACGUGCCAGCAGCCGCGGUAAUACGUAGGUGGCAAGCGUUGUCCGGAUUUAUUGGGCGUAAAGCGAGCGCAGGCGGUUUCUUAAGUCUGAUGUGAAAGCCCUCGGCUCAACCGAGGAAGGUCAUUGGAAACUGGGGAACUUGAAUGCAGAAGAGGAGAGUGGAAUUCCAUGUGUAGCGGUGAAAUGCGUAGAUAUAUGGAGGAACACCAGUGGCGAAGGCGACUCUCUGGUCUGUAAUUGACGCUGAGGCUCGAAAGCGUGGGGAGCAAACAGGAUUAGAUACCCUGGUAGUCCACGCCGUAAACGAUGAGUGCUAAGUGUUGGAGGGUUUCCGCCCUUCAGUGCUGCAGUUAACGCAUUAAGCACUCCGCCUGGGGAGUACGGCCGCAAGGCUGAAACUCAAAGGAUUGACGG
rnacentral:rRNA from 1 species